rnacentral:rRNA from 1 species
GACGAACGCUGGCGGCGUGCUUAACACAUGCAAGUCGAACGCUGAAGCUUGGUGCUUGCACUGGGUGGAUGAGUGGCGAACGGGUGAGUAAUACGUGAGUAACCUGCCCUUGACUCUGGGAUAAGCCUGGGAAACUGGGUCUAAUACUGGAUACGACAUGUCACCGCAUGGUGGUGUGUGGAAAGGGUUUUACUGGUUUUGGAUGGGCUCACGGCCUAUCAGCUUGUUGGUGGGGUAAUGGCUCACCAAGGCGACGACGGGUAGCCGGCCUGAGAGGGUGACCGGCCACACUGGGACUGAGACACGGCCCAGACUCCUACGGGAGGCAGCAGUGGGGAAUAUUGCACAAUGGGCGGAAGCCUGAUGCAGCGACGCCGCGUGAGGGACGACGGCCUUCGGGUUGUAAACCUCUUUCAGCACGGAAGAAGCGAAAGUGACGGUACGUGCAGAAGAAGCGCCGGCUAACUACGUG